rnacentral:rRNA from 2 species
UACAGAGGGUGCGAGCGUUAAUCGGAAUUACUGGGCGUAAAGCGCACGUAGGUGGCGACGUAAGUCGGGUGUGAAAGCCCCGGGCUCAACCUGGGAAUUGCAUUCGAGACUGCGUUGCUGGAGUACGGAAGAGGAGGGCGGAAUUCCCGGUGUAGCGGUGAAAUGCGUAGAUAUCGGGAGGAACAUCAGUGGCGAAGGCGGCCCUCUGGUCCAGUACUGACACUCAAGUGCGAAAGCGUGGGGAGCAAACAGG